rnacentral:rRNA from 1 species
UACGUAUGGUGCAAGCGUUAUCCGGAUUUACUGGGUGUAAAGGGUGCGUAGGCGGAUUGAUAAGUUAGAGGUGAAAUGUCCGAGCUCAACUCGGGAACUGCCUCUAAUACUGUUGAUCUAGAGAGUAGAUGCGGUAGGCGGAAUGUAUGGUGUAGCGGUGAAAUGCUUAGAGAUCAUACAGAACACCGAUUGCGAAGGCAGCUUACCAAUCUAUAUCUGACGUUGAGGCACGAAAGCGUGGGGAGCAAACAGG